GACGAACGCUGGCGGCGUGCCUAAUACAUGCAAGUCGAACGCUGAAGGAGGAGCUUGCUUCUCUGGAUGAGUUGCGCACGGGUGAGUAAAGCGUAGGUAACCUGCCUGGUAGCGGGGGAUAACUAUUGGAAACGAUAGCUAAUACCGCAUAAUAGUAGAUGUUGCAUGACAUUUGCCUAAAAGGUGCAAUUGCAUUACUACCAGAUGGUCCUGCGUUGUAUCAGCUAAGUGGUGGGGUAACGGCUCAACAAGGCGACGAUACAUAGCCGACCUGCGAGGGGGAUCGGCCAAACUGGGAAUGGGACACGGCCCAGAACCCUACGGGAGGGAGCAGGAGGGAAUCUUCGGCAAUGGACGGAAGGCUGACCGAGCAACGCCGCGGGAGGGAAGAAGGGUUUCGGAUCGUAAAGCUCUGUUGUAAGGGAAGAACGAGUGUGAGAGUGGAAAGUUCACACUGUGACGGUAUCUAACCAGAAAGGGACGGCUAACUACGUG
rnacentral:rRNA from 1 species